ACUCCUCCACCUGUAAAAUCCCUAGAGGACUUUUCUGGAAAAACAACAGUCUGCGGAGGUGACGAGUGUUCGAAUAGUAAGACCGGUCCUUGGCUUUGGUGCAGUGUGCUACGUUCAGGAGACGACCUACAUAACUGUCACGCGUGAAUGGACACAACUGUACAUUGUUUUGGAACAUCGUCCUAGACUUACUUCGUCAAUAUUCAUUUUGGAUAUUAUAUUUGUGACGCAUGUUGUAAGCAUUGUGUGUUAUAUGUGCUGUGUGAUGUGUGUUUUCAUUCUUUGUGUUUGUGCAAUUUUGGUUUACGUCACGUGACAUCUGAAUCAGCUGAUCGUCAAUUUCCAUGGACAUUUUUGUUAAAUGAGGGAUUAUUGCCACAUCACUUAUUCCCAUAGAAUGGUAUGAUGGUGUUCAUGAUAUAUUCUAUGAUUAUAAUGAAUAAUGUCUGUAUAGUCAUUAUAGAAAAUCAUAAAUAUAUAGUAUCAGUGUUUUUAAGCUUUUAUAAUAUCAUAUGGUAACAUAUAUUUCAAAGAAGUAAUUUGUGUAAAUAAGUAAUACUUUGAUGUAUAUGAUUGUAAAUAUAAUUAUUUGUUUGAUAUGUUUCAGAGUGUCAUACACAUACAUAUACAUGUAUAUCUAAAGCUUAGAUUCUGGCAAUAAAAUGGAGGUGAUCGACAUCUAAGAACCCA